rnacentral:rRNA from 1 species
UACGUAGGUGACAAGCGUUGUCCGGAGUUAUUGGGCGUAAAGGGAGCGCAGGCGGUUGGAAUAGUCUGAUGUGAAAGCCCACGGCUUAACCGUGGAAUUGCAUUGGAAACUGUCCAACUUGAAUGCAGAAGAGGAAAGCGGAAUUCCAUGUGUAGCGGUGAAAUGCGUAGAUAUAUGGAGGAACACCAGUGGCGAAGGCGGCUUUCUGGUCUGUGAUUGACGCUGAGGCUCGAAAGCGUGGGGAGCGAACAGG